rnacentral:lncRNA from 1 species
UGCAUUUGAGGUUUUUUUAAUGAUUGUGAAAAUUCUUUAUGGCUACAUUAAUUGCAGUUAGAGAAUAAGAUAAGCAUACUAACACUGGGUUAAGGGCUUGAGUGGUUUGGCCUUUGACUCAAGAAUUGUAUGACCUUUUAGAAUUCAAAUUAAGCAUAUUUAGUACAGAACUGGAGCUUUCAAAAAAAUCCUCCAGUGUCACUUAACAUGCUACAUUUCUGUCUUUUGUUUUUUUUUCUAAACAUUCUGUGAUUAUGCAUCCUGAAAUUGGGGGUCCUAUAUGAGUGUGUGCCCACAUCCCCUGAAGCUAAAUACCCAGUUACAGUCCAGAUCCAGUGAGAUGCAGAGAGGAAGCCAAAGACUGCUCCCGAGCUGUGGUAGUUGGAUUGGGACGUUGGGACCAGGAUCCUUCUGGGGGCAAGCUGUAAACACGAUAGGUCCCAGGUGGUCCAGUCUGGUGAGAGGGCCAGAGAACAUUCACCCUAUAGAGGAAUGAAGCUGAAGUUUGGGGGAGAUUUAUGUACCUUUCACAAUGCAGGGCCUGUGAGAGGGUAGGAUGUCAAAUGAAGGUGGAAAAUUGAGUGAAUCAUGGAUCAAAGAAUGCAGAUGAGCCCCUUCCUCAAAGAAAUUUAAGAGGAUUAAGUGUCAGGGUAAGGUUGCCACUUAAUCCACCCAGUGGGAUACAGGAAUGUUAGGCAUCCCAUUACACCACAGCUCCUCCUCCCACACAGGUGAGCAGGGAAGAGGGGGCAGGGAGUGGGAAAAGCCUUGCCUACACAGUGCAAUGCACCAGCCUCGGAGAGUCAGCCUGGAGAGAAAAGUAAUCUGCACCUGGUAAAUGGCUGGCACAGAUGUUCUGCUGAACCAUUGCAGCUACUUACAGAUUUACUUUUUAAUGUUACAUAUGACACACUAUGGCACAUUUUGUACAUCAAUACACACAUAUACAGAAUACAUAUGGAGUUGCUUUGUAUCAAAGCCUGAGUUUGGGAUUGGUUGAAUUAUUGAAUGGUAAAACCAUGACUAUGUUAUGUAGCUCUUUCUAAAUAAGGGUAACUCCACACCAUAUCAGCAUGGAUUCUUUGUAUAAGAAGUAUGUUGCAGAAAAUUAUAUUAGGAAUGUUUUAGAAACUUUAACAGAAUUUUAUUGGCAUUUUUCUUAUUAUUUUAGUUGUGAAGCUGGAUGCCUUAUUUACAUCAGUCCAGCUGUACAGAGCUCAGGGAAAGCCAUAAAAAAAAAGCCAUAAAAGUGCAUUUUUCUCUAUGUAAAAAUAUAUUACCAUUUUGAAGUUCGUUCUCCUCUGACAUUUUGGGGCUAGAAGGGAGUGCUGGAUCCCAGUACUGGCUUCUAUUCCCAUGGUAUAUAGCUCCCAUUUCUUGACCUGCAGGAUCCCAGAGUUCAUUUAUGACAUAUUUACACAUACUAAAGCUGUGAGUAGUCCAGGCCUGACUCUCUUCUUGGGUAGGGAUAAGUUAGGAAUAAAGACUCACAUUUUGGGGAGAAAGUUGUAAUA